GUGCCAGCAGCCGCGGUAAUACGGAGGGUGCAAGCGUUUAAUCGGAAUUACUGGGCGUAAAGCCCACCCAGGCGGGUUUGUUAAGUCAGAUGUGAAAUCCCCGGGCUCCAACCUGGGAAAUGCAUCUGAUACUGGCAAGCUUGAGUCCUCGUAGAGGGGGGUAGAAUUCCAGGUGUAGCGGUGAAAUGCGUAGAGAUCUGGAGGAAUACCGGUGGCGAAGGCGGCCCCCUGGACGAAGACUGACGCUCAGGUGCGAAAGCGUGGGGAGCAAACAGGAUUAGAUACCCUGGUAGUCC
rnacentral:rRNA from 1 species